UGGGGAAUUUUGGACAAUGGGCGAAAGCCUGAUCCAGCAAUGCCGCGUGUGUGAAGAAGGCCUUCGGGUUGUAAAGCACUUUUGUCCGGAAAGAAAUCCUUGGCUCUAAUACAGUCGGGGGAUGACGGUACCGGAAGAAUAAGCACCGGCUAACUACGUGCCAGCAGCCGCGGUAAUACGUAGGGUGCAAGCGUUAAUCGGAAUUACUGGGCGUAAAGCGUGCGCAGGCGGUUUGCUAAGACCGAUGUGAAAUCCCCGGGCUCAACCUGGGAACUGCAUUGGUGGCUGGCAGGCUAGAGUAUGGCAGAGGGGGGUAGAAUUCCACGUGUAGCAGUGAAAUGCGUAGAGAUGUGGAGGAAUACCGAUGGCGAAGGCAGCCCCCUGGGCCAAUACUGACGCUCAUGCACGAAAGCGUGGGGAGCAAACAGGAUUAGAUACCCUGGUAGUCCACGCCCUAAACGAUGUCAACUAGUUGUU
rnacentral:rRNA from 1 species